rnacentral:rRNA from 1 species
CCUACGGGAGGCAGCAGUGGGGAAUUUUGGACAAUGGGCGCAAGCCUGAUCCAGCCAUGCCACGUGCGGGAAGAAGGCCUUCGGGUUGUAAACCGCUUUUGUUCGGGAAGAAAUCGACUCCAUUAAUACUGGGGUUGGAUGACGGUACCGGAAGAAUAAGCACCGGCUAACUACGUGCCAGCAGCCGCGGUAAUACGUAGGGUGCGAGCGUUAAUCGGAAUUACUGGGCGUAAAGCGUGCGCAGGCGGUUUCGCAAGUCAGAUGUGAAAGCCCCGGGCUCAACCUGGGAACUGCAUUUGAAACUACGAGGCUAGAGUGUGUCAGAGGGGGGUAGAAUUCCACGUGUAGCAGUGAAAUGCGUAGAGAUGUGGAGGAAUACCGAUGGCGAAGGCAGCCCCCUGGGAUAACACUGACGCUCAUGCACGAAAGCGUGGGGAGCAAACAGGAUUAGAUACCCUGGUAGUCCACGCCCUAAACGAUGUCAACUAGUUGUCGGAGAAGCAAUUCUUGGUAACGCAGCUAACGCGUGAAGUUGACCGCCUGGGGGAGGUACGGUCGCAGAUAAACUACGAAGAAGUAGAGCGNGAGAGNGCGAGACGACGACGAGGGAGGAGG